AGAAAUACAUAGCUACUGAGUUCUGAACAUGAGAUAUCUGAAAACGUGGCCACCGACAUUAACAAUAAUGGAAGAAUUUUAAAGCAGGACUGAAAAAGGAUGAAAUGCUGAAGCAGACCAUCAAAGGCAGUUUCCUGAUGACUUCACCUCAAUAAUCAGUACGUUUGUGGUAGUUUUUAAUUAGUAAUGAUUGAUCUGAUUCUACUUGAUAAGCAGCCUACAUUUCUCCAUUUUGUAGAAACAAAAGCAACCCUGUGAGUUUGUUGCUGCAAAUUAUUCUGUCUACAACGUAACUCAAUCUACUGAUAAUUACUUCAUAAAUGAAAUAAACACGGACAUAUCUUGUGCUCUUA